rnacentral:rRNA from 1 species
UACGUAGGGUGCGAGCGUUAAUCGGAAUUACUGGGCGUAAAGCGUGCGCAGGCGGUGAUGUAAGACCGAUGUGAAAUCCCCCGGGCUUAACCUGGGAACUGCAUUGGUGACUGCAUCGCUCGAGUAUGGCAGGAGGGGGGUAGAAUUCCACGUGUAGCAGUGAAAUGCGUAGAGAUGUGGAGGAAUACCGAUGGCGAAGGCAGCCCCCUGGGUCAAUACGUGACGCUCAUGCACGAAAGCGUGGGGAGCAAACAGGAUUGAGAAC